rnacentral:ribozyme from 1 species
GGUCGACUAUGCGACCUUAAAUAGCCUUUAGGCAUAGUGCGUCACUAUAUGAGUGGGUAUGG